CCCAACUUAUCGUCUCGUUGAGACAUUGGUUUGAUAUAGUAUAUUCGCAAUUUUAGAUUGCACCCGCUAUUUAUCUUGUUCUUGCUUGUUCUUCGAUUGCUUGCAGGAACAAAGACCUUCGUGGUCAGGUUGAUCGUGCCCCCGCGUGAUCAAUAACCCUUUGGAAUUGGUGUAUCGAUUGCUAAGGCGCUGCCUCCUAGGCCGUAGUCGGAUCGUCAACGUCACCUCCUACCCAAAUCGAGAGUUACCAAUCUCAUCGAAAGAUCGGGCCACCCCGACACGUAUCACGUGGUAUCAGAGCUUAAGGUUGCUCGGUGAGAUUUUUCCAGUUUAUCCGUAGUUUAGAUCUAUUUUUACCUAUCGUCCAGAAAAAGCCAAAGAAAAAUUAGAAUUAGUUACCUUGUCCUAGAACCAAUCUGAGCCUUGCAAUUUUCACUUUAGUAUUUGCAUUGUUGAAUCUUUGCUGCAUUAAUCGUGUCGAGUUGCUGGAUUAGAUUGGAUCGUUUUUCAGAUUUUUUCUACUAGAUCGAACUUGCUUUUGGUUUUCUUGUUCUUCGUGUGACGCAGGUUUCCUUCAUCAAUCUUCCGCCGCCAAACUUCCUGCCACACCACCGCCAUAAUCUCCCGCCGCCACCAUAUCUUCCACCGAGUCCCUCUUGGAGUCCUACACCGAGUCCCUCAUCGAGUCCUACACCGAGUCCCUCUUCGAGUCCUACACCGAGUCCCUCGUCGAGUCCUACAUCGAGUCGGCAAGUUAUAGUUUUCAGCCGCGAAUCCGAGUCCGAGUCCAAUAAGGAGUGCUUUUGGAAAGUGUUUCAUCAUAGAUCGAAUUUUGUUUAGAGAUCAAGUUGUUUGGAAAUUUGAAAAAAAAAAAGGAAAGAAAAAAAAAAGGAAAGAAAGAAAGAAAAAAAAACGAAAAAAAAAAAGAGUUCGAGUCAGUUUCGGACCCGAGUCCGAGUAGAAUUUUAGUUUCGGGUGGGUUUGACCCGUGUUCAGUAAAACGGGCGUAUCUUUUGCGUACCAACUCGGUUUUGGACGUUCUUGGACUUUUUGGAAAGCUCAGGACGAGGCUCAUCAGGAAAUAUCCAGGGCGUUGCCCUGCACUUUGAGCCCCAAAUUCGGUUUGUAAGGUGGACUUUCUGAGCUUCCAAGUUUUUGCAUCCGUUUUCCGACGUCGCUGCAGCGCGGUGUUUCUCAGUUUUCUCCACCGUCCGAUAUCCGUUUUGAGUGAUCUUGCCCUUGCUGGAAAGCUUGUGUCGAUACCCUUCUAACCCAUAUUUUUCCAUAUUUUUCUGAAUUUUUCUUACUGCAGCCUUUGCUGUUCUUCGACAGACCGACGUACAGUUUUCCGGUCCUUCUUUUGCGUGAGUUUCUGGGGUAGAAAAAAAGAAAAAAAAGAAAAAAAGAAGAAGAAAAGAAUAAGAAGCCAAACAGAAGGCCACAAAAAGAAAAAAAAAGAAAAAAAAUCCCAGGGAUUUACUUCUUGUGCCAUCUUUCUAUCCUACCUUCUUCAGUAUCUAGGCUUAGAUUAUUUCUGUAAUUCGUUCUUAUCGACUCCAGCAGCUAGGACUAGCAUUAUUGAGCAUAUUUUCAACUUUGCAUUGCUGAUUUGAUUAUUUGCUAUUCUUUGCUACUCACAAAAGCCUCCAAGCUCCACAGAUUCUACACCUAGGUUGGUUUGUUACCGAGGCAUCGAUACAUUUAAUAUUCGGAGGGCUUGGUCACGCCGCUGGCCAUCACCUUCCUGUUUUGCAUGGUAAGAACUUGUAAGAACUUGAUUUUUAGCUUGAGAGUUGAGCGACUUGUAGCCACAUCCUAGUAGUUGAUAGGAACAUAUUACUGUGAUUUGUUUCUUGUUUUCUACUAACCAUGACAGGACUUACACGAAGCAUGGCAACUAGACCGAUGCUAUCCCGUGACCGCAAUGAGUGCUUUUCACCACGGCCAUCCUCCACGUCUCUUGUUGAUAAUGCCACGGCAACGGUACAAAACAAUCCUUCUAAUACAUAUAAAUUGUGUGUACCUUUCUUUGAGGGGGAAAAUGAUGCUGAAACGUAUAUAGAUUGGGAGCUAGUUUUAACUGAACAAUUCACAUGCUUCCAUGUACUAGAUAGUCGUAAGGUCCAAAUUGCUAGUAGUAAAUUUCGUUUUGAUGCAUUAUCAUGGUGGUGUGAGAUAGUU
rnacentral:lncRNA from 1 species